AUCACACUAAUAUGACUCACCAAUGUUGCUGCAUUUCUAACUGUAACUUCAAGAGGCCAUAUAUUAAACCUUGAUUUUUUUACACAGGAAUUGCCUUACAGAUGCCGGCUUGGAGUUGCCAGAGUAUCGCGAGAGCUGCGGCCAACACGCUACAGGAAAGGAUAUGUGAUAAUUGAAAACGUGUGUCGGGAAUCCAUUGUGUUGGAACAUACGGAGUGAAUUGACUAACAUUGGCAAAUAGACUUUACCAAGCAGGUACAAGAACAAAACAGGGCUGUUUUUUUAUAUUAUUCAUCAGUCGAUAUUUGCAGUUUGCAGUCUAGACAUUCAGUUGAAAGUGUUUACUGGAUAAGCACAACUCUUGAUGGUCAACUACUGACCUACUGUUGGACACAAUAUAAAACUUUCAUUAAUUUAAAACACUUUCAUUUUAAUAUA